rnacentral:rRNA from 1 species
GACGAACGCUGGCGGCGCGCCUAACACAUGCAAGUCGAACGAGCGAGAGAGAGCUUGCUUUCUUGAGCGAGUGGCGAACGGGUGAGUAACGCGUGAGGAACCUGCCUCAAAGAGGGGGACAACAGUUGGAAACGACUGCUAAUACCGCAUAAGCCCACAGGUCGGCAUCGACCAGAGGGAAAAGGAGCAAUCCGCUUUGAGAUGGCCUCGCGUCCGAUUAGCUAGUUGGUGAGGUAAUGGCCCACCAAGGCGACGAUCGGUAGCCGGACUGAGAGGUUGAACGGCCACAUUGGGACUGAGACACGGCCCAGACUCCUACGGGAGGCAGCAGUGGGGAAUAUUGCACAAUGGGGGAAACCCUGAUGCAGCGACGCCGCGUGGAGGAAGAAGGUCUUCGGAUUGUAAACUCCUGUUGU